CUGAUUUCUACCUGGGAGAUCAUGCAUGAGCCGUGAUUUAGAAUCUGCUACUCUUCUGUUCUAUAAUUGACCUCGUUCUCUCAUCUCCCUCAGGCUUAAAUCCUUCUGGAGUCACUAAGGUUGUCAGUGUGGGGAGAAGCAGCAGCUGGUUUCAAGCUUCACACGUUCCUCCUAUGAGAGAAGACAUGGGUGUACAUUAGAGUGGAGACAAGUAUGUUCACUAAAAGUCCAAAACAUGGUAGCAAUUCUAUCAGAAAAAAAGGAAAAGAGUCUUUCUAUAACACUGUCUUCAACCAAAUUAUGAGCUGGAGAAACAGCAAGACAGAAUAAGACGUUUAUUCCCUGGAUCUUCUUUAAUAGUUCCCUGAAUACUCUUAAUUAUGCCAAUAUGAGGUAAGUCGAUACAUGUCUUUGAGGAAAGGAAAUUUACAAAGAUCAUUCUUCCUGGUAGCCCCCAAUAUGCCAAACUAAACUUAU
rnacentral:lncRNA from 1 species